rnacentral:lncRNA from 1 species
UUUCUUAGACAGAUUUUGUACUAAACUCUCAUUAUGAACUGCGCCCAAUUUGGCAGUGAAAAUUUAAAGAAAUGUAACUGCACUCAACUCUGCAGUACAUUGAUAAUUUUAAUAAAGGGUUUUGAUUUACAGUGUCUAAGGGACAUAACUUUGUUCAAAAUAUUAAAUAAUGUUCUCAACUUCGGUGUAAAUUAAAAAUUUUAAUA